GUCUUCAUUCCUAGGACUUACAGAGACCAAAGCUCCUGAAGUACCAUCAUUCUACCAUGGAUACUGUGAAGUGGUACCACCGUAAAUCCAUGUCCUCUAAUGUCAGCGGACUAUCAGACCCAGUCAGAGAUGGGUGGAGGUGAUCCGUACAUUCCCUACAAAUUUUGGUGCCCAACGUGGGGCAUCCUUCACUGGCUGGAACACUGCUUGCUCGAAACUGCUGCACCUGAAAUCCUGGCCCUCUGACAAAAGGCCAGCAAAG
rnacentral:lncRNA from 1 species